AUUCUCCUUCUUCCUCCCUAAUCCCAUCGUUCAGAUUAAAUAAAAAAUCCCCACCGAUGCGGCCCGCCUCCUUCUCUGAGGUGGGCGCCCUCAUUGCCCGGCCGCCUUGCGGCCCGCCCCCGCUCGACCUCCUCGGUGGCUGGUUCAUGGCGUGCCGUGGCUGCAGCUCCCCACGGCCUCGCCGGCUGGCCCAUCGUCUUCGUGUUCCGCGGCUGCCAGCUCCGUCGCCUGCUCCUGAUCUGGGAGCGUGCCGGUCCGCCGUCCGACCGCUCGACGGCCAGCAGCGUCGUCGUCUGGGAUAACAUCGUCGCGUCGACGCCUCCCAUUUGUCACCUAGACGAGGACCACGACUCCCACGCCGUCGCUGGUAAGGCUGAGCUUCCUCGGCCUUCCGUCGUGACGGGGCGCUCCAGGUGGUUUCGUCAGGUACGACCUUGAUUUGUUCUAUGCCUCCUUCUUCCCUCUCUGUUUUUUUUCUCUGUUCCUAUUUCCCCUUACUUUUUUCGUCCGAGUCCGUGCCAACUGGGAGGAGUCCUGCGAGAAGAUGGUGAGAGACCCGCCGAGCGGGGCCAACCUGCUGCUGUUUUCCGGCGGACCAGCCGACGAGAUCCAGCAGCAUGUGCCACGGCACCCUCUCCGCCUGCCCGACGGCAUGCAGCGGAUUCCAGCUCACCAGAUAUCAACGGAGAUGGACUUCUACAUAAAAUUGAUUACAUACUCAGAUCGCUAGCGUGUAUAUUUUCUCUAAAAAUAGUUACUUAAUUAUGCCAUGCAUCAAAGAAGAGGGGUUGGUACUGGCUUUCUAUCCAGUCAGUUUAUACGGAAGACACCAAUUCGUGUGAGCAGCGGUGGCUGAAGGUAGUAGGAGAUGACUACCAUGCUAGCGAUCCAGCUUCAUGUACGGCUCGCAUCUCGGUUUUUAUCUCUCUAAAGAGCCCGCUGAUAAGGUGUUACCCAGAUUGUGUGCAACCUUCGAAAAGCUCAUGUAGAAGCACCUUUAAUCAUGCUCUGAUUGUCGUACCGAUUCACUGUUUCACGGUUUUUUCAUCUCUCCCAAGACGCAACCAGCAAGGCGCCACACAUAUUGUAUGCAAGCAUUAAAAAGCUCACAUCUUACUAAUGUAGGUGCUCCUCCUACACUUCGGAGAUGAAUUGCAGCUCGCGGCCUCUCCUACUGCACACCCAAGGGUGACACCCUCCACUGACUAGCAUCUAAAGAUGCCCGCGGCCACAUCGUCGCGUGAGUAAGCUUCAACGGAAUAGAUCUAGAAAGGGAUCUGCCGAUGGAACUCCGAAGGACGAAGACUCAAGAACAGGUACAUAAUGGCACUCCAAUACGAUUUGUUGUACCUCCAUAGAAGAAAGCUUUAAAAAAGCUUCUGUUACAGUUCAUCUAGAUUCUGUAACUUGAAUGGAUGGUCAAAUGCAGAUUUAAAUGUGUUAUUUAUGUUCUGUCUGGCUCUGAUGAAAUAUUAUUAUGAUACCAACAUAUCGUAUGUAUCAUGUAAAUGGGAGAAUUUUUCCUCUUUCGGAUCUAUUACAGAACACACUUUUUUUCUGCUAUUUACUUAUGCAGUAGCUGGU